UACAUUAUUACUAUAGUAUGUAAAAUUAUACAUUUUAUCAAUAUUAUUUAUAAGUUUUUUUGUUGAUGUGGUUCUUUCUCUAGAUGUUGACAAAAACUACUCUUUUUAAAACCUGUCUAGUUUAUAUAUAAAUUUGAUGAAUAACUACACUAAACCUGUCAGAGUAGUCAGUUGAUUAUUUGGAAUCAAUCCAAAAGGUUUCAACAAGUAAUAUAUAAUAUAAUAAACUUAUUGUAUACAGAGGUCAGGUGUACUACAACUCAUCAAAAAAAUCAGCCAGAACUGCAAGAACAGUACAUAGGGUGUGCACAAGAAGUGAACAGUGAGUAAGAUAUUUAAAGAAAAUAGGCAGGGGAUAUCAGGUGUACUGCCGGUGAAUUUCAGGAAUCUUGGAAGUUUUGAAAGAUGUAGUGUCCCAACAGAUGACAACUGAUGCGGGUAGAUUAUUCCAUGCUUCAGGAAUUCUGAACAUGAAGAAAUGCUUCUGAAAGUCAUGGGUGCCUUGUUGUUUCUUGAUUUAGUAAGCAUGGUCCUUGAGUGUUGGUCGUAUUAUUGAAUUCAAGGUGCUCAAGGUUGUUGUUGGAAAGAUGAUGGAUAAUCUUGUGAGUGUCCGUGAAGUCAGUUGCCAGACUUUAGAGCUUUGAUGUAUCUAUGCUGCCCAGAUAAGCAAGAG